UGUAACAAGAGGGGGUAUACCCCCUUCUUUCCUCAUUUUUCACGACCAAACGCAGCCUUUCUCUUCUCUCUCUCUCUCUCUCUCUCUUCCCUUCCUGGCUUAACCCUAAGCGCCGCGGCCACCUUCUGCGCAUGUCUCGCCAUUAAUGGCAACAAUACAGAGGUACAAACCUCCUUUGACUGUUGCACAACCUUUUUUGUGUAACAAAUUUCAGAAAAUCGCACCAAGGAUAUUAAUUCUGUACUGCUUGUGUUAUGUGUGCAAAACACUCUCCUUGCAUUGUUUGGCCAUUUCAUCUACCAAAAUGGGAAUUGAGACAAGGCCCAGUUCCAAGUUCAGAUCGAGUCCUAUUGAAGUUGAAAGGGAAGCAAAUAUGGUGUUAAAGGCCUAGCUAUGGGUAAAAAUAGCUUAAUAGGCCUUUGGUAGCCCAUUAGUGAAAUCUCUCUCUCCUUUCUAUUAUUUGAUUGCCUGUACAAAUGUAAAUUAAACCUCAUUGUUAGUGAAACCCUUGUGUAUGUUAGGAUUUAGGAAAAUAACUUAGUAAUUUAGGCAAUGUCGUCAAAACAAAUCAGUUUUUUUUUUAGAAAAGAAAACUCAAGGGAUUUCAAAA